rnacentral:rRNA from 1 species
AUUGAACGCUGGCGGCAGGCCUAACACAUGCAAGUCGAACGAGUGGCGGAAGGGUGAGUAAUGUCUGGGAAACUGCCCGAUGGCGGGGGAUAACUACUGGAAACGGUAGCUAAUACCGCAUACCAUCGGAUGUGCCCAGAUGGGAUUAGCUAGUAGGUGGGGUAACGGCUCACCUAGGCGACGAUCCCUAGCUGGUCUGAGAGGAUGACCAGUCACACUGGCACUGAGACACGGUCCAUACUCCUACGGGAGGCAGCAGUGGGGAAUAUUGCACAAUGGGCGCAAGACUGAUACAGCCAUGCCGCGUGUAUGAAGAAGGCCUGCGGGUUGUAAAGUACUUUCGGCGAGGAGGCGUUACUCGCAGAAGAAGCACCGGCUAACGCCGUGCCAGCAGCCGCGGUAAUAC